rnacentral:rRNA from 1 species
UACCAGACUCCUACGGGAGGCAGCAGUGGGGAAUAUUGCACAAUGGGGGAAACCCUGAUGCAGCGACGCCGCGUGAGUGAAGAAGUAUUUCGGUAUGUAAAGCUCUAUCAGCAGGAAAGAAAAUGACGGUACCUGACUAAGAAGCCCCGGCUAACUACGUGCCAGCAGCCGCGGUAAUACGUAGGGGGCAAGCGUUAUCCGGAUUUACUGGGUGUAAAGGGAGCGUAGACGGUGAAGCAAGUCUGAAGUGAAAGCCCGGGGCUCAACUCCGGGACUGCUUUUGAAACUGUUGAACUAGAUUGCAGGAGAGGUAAGUGGAAUUCCUAGUGUAGCGGUGAAAUGCGUAGAUAUUAGGAGGAACACCAGUGGCGAAGGCGGCUUACUGGGCCACGACUGACGCUGAGGCGCGAAAGCUAGGGGAGCGAACAGGAUUAGAUACCCGCGUA